AAGGUCGCAAAAGGUCAUUUGCCUACAGAUUUACUGGCAAAGAAACAAAGAUUUUUUGCCACAAAUUUAUGUUUCCUAUUAUAGCUUGUCUCAGAAAUGAUUCUGAUAGUCCUGAAACAAAACUUUGGCUUGCAGCAAUUGCAUACUGUUGUUUGCAAUUGAGAGAUGCCAUCUCCUAUUUCUCUCGUGUAAACAUAGAUCAGGCAGGAAUUGACGGGUGUAAGAAAGCAUGCCAGUAUUUUUAUAAUGCUAAUAUGCUGCUUUUUAAUAACAUCACACCCACUAUUUGGACUGUUGGUUAUGCCAUUCC